AUGCAGCUGCAUGUCAUUUCCACCUCCUGGCUAAGUAACUGCUACUGCUGCCGCUGUAACCAAGCAUGCAUAGCCAUGCAUGCAUCGAAGACAGGUUUGACUCAACAAUCUCCCCCUCAAACCUGUAGGAGGGUCUUGAUGAUCCCGGUCCUGUCGUGCGGCUCUUGGAACUCGACGCAACCAAGUGCCUUCGUUGGGAUAUCCGUCUUCUCGGCGGCCCGUAUGCCCUGUUCGUGCUUCUUGAUCUCGGGUGCUGCGAUCGUCUCGCGGGCUCGAGAAGGUCCCUCUAGGCUUCGGAACCUGUGUGGAUCGCCACCAUUUUUGUUGGCAUCGAACAAGUCCUACCGCGCUGUUGAUGGGGACAUGAACUGCCCGGGAACCACCUCGCUCGUGGGCGUCAGUGUUUCUGGGGUCGUAGUUCCUGAUGUCACACUGCCCGGGAACUCCCUUCCCGGGGUCGUCGUGUCGGACGUCACGCUACCCGGGAACUCCCUUCCCGGGGAUGACUUGUCGGACAUCGGACUACCCAGGAAUUCCCUUCCUGGGGUCGUCGUGCCGGACGCCGCACUGCCCGGGAACUCCCUUCCCAGGGUCGUUGUGCCGGACGCCACACUGACCAGAGUGGUUCCUCUCAGGGUAGCGGAGUCCUUGCUGCUCUUCCCAUCGGACUUGCUUGUCGGGUCUCCCCCGACAAACGUAAGUCGUGCCUCCCGCACGGACUCGAUGGACCCCGAGCGCGUCAGGGUUGCUGCGUGGCUGACCAUAGAGCACCGCGCCUCCUGCACAGCCUCGAUGGUCGCCAGAGUCACGGUCGAGGCCUUGCCGCCCCAUGACCGUCUCUUCAUGGCCUCCCAGCUGUUGAGGCCCGUCAAAGAGUGCCGUGUUGCCCACACGGGCUUGCAGAACCCCGAGAACCUGGUUGUCGGGGUAUGGCCAACCUGA
rnacentral:rRNA from 1 species